UACUAGAUACUUAAAUCUCAUUGCUUCUAGUUGAUUCUUGUGGUUAGGAAAGUAGUUAUAGAAAGUACUCCAUAUUUUGUUUAUUUGAAUUCGAAUUGAAUUUUUAUUGGCCCAAGAGGGUAUGGCACCUCAUUGGUGUUUUAAAUUGAGACUUCCAGAGUUCAAAUCCGUCUUCCUUAUUGAAAUUAUUGAAUGUUCAAAAAAAGACUUAGUUUUUAUUGGUUUUUCAAAUUGAUUUAUAUUCUUGGUGUUUAAUGUCAUCCAAGUCAUGGGACUUUUUGUGUAUUAGGAUCCGCUCCGUUUAUUUUUGAAACAAAGUGAGACCAUUUCGUGGUGAAGAUUUAGGUUUUUUUUAAGAAUCUAAAUGAUUAUAUGGUGCAAUGUCAUUUGAAAUGCAGUUGGUGUUCCUUAACUCUGUGUAUCUUUUGUUCUAUUCCUUUUUUUUAAUAAUAUUUCCUUAUAACCUAUCAAAACAAGAGUAUGCAGGAAUUUUAGACCCUUUUUUCCCCUGGUUGAAAGGAUGGGAUGGUUAAUAGGGGUAGCCCUUUGCUAUCCAUACAACAACAACUACAACAAAGUCUUUGUCCAAAAAAAUGUCUCAAUGUCGCCUGGGAAAUUCAAACUCUUAAGGGGAAACCCUAUGUAUAGCCCUUCCCUAUCCAUAAAUUCUCUAAUCUGGGUGAGAUAUAGAAGGAAUAGGAUGGGGAGAUAGGAUGGGAAUUUAGGAAAAACUUAGGAAUCAACACCCAACAAUUGGAAAAUUUCCCAAAAAAAAGUGUUUUCUGUGUUUACUAGGGCUCUUUGAAAUAGGCUUGCAAGGAUUACAUCAAUCAGGAAAAAAUUUCGAAAACAAAAGAAAAAAAAUCCCAUUAUCCUAAAAAAAAUUAAAGGCAACAUCAAAAUUAAAAAAUAAAUUGGGUUCAAAAAUAAAAAAUUGUGGAAGAAAUCAUGAAAUGAUAUUGCUUGUACUCCUUGCAUAAAUAUGACACAAAGAUCCUUAUAUAUCUUUCUACUAAUAUUUUUUUCCACAUAUUUAUUCAAAAUCUAGAUGAAGGUUAAGUUUAAUGUUGCUUGUUAAACUACCACUUGUCCUGAAAGUCUAAGCUAUUAGGAAAUAGAGAAUUUAAUUAUUUAAUUAUUAUUUUAACACCUCCCUCACUUGUGGGCCUAAAUUCUCCUUAAUGACUGGCCUCGACCUGGUGCAAUUUGAUGGGGUUGGUUGGGUGUGGAUGUUCUGUUUUGGGCUUGGCUGAAUUGUGGUGUUUUAUUUUAAAUUUUUUUUGAGGGCUAAAUAGGGCCAGCUCAAGUGCCAAGUCACAGUUUUUAUUUUUUGUACUGCUUUAAACAGGGUCGUUUGGUACCAGCCCAAAUGUCAUAUUUACAUAGAAGAAAACUAUUUGCCAUACAUUAAUUAAAAAUUUAUACAGGCACAUGGUUAUGAACACAAUCUGUUACCUAAUAUUGUAAUUCCCUCACAGAAACCCAUAACUUGAAUCUAAUUUACAUUGAAAACCCAACAACGCAUACAUAAAGACAUAGGUUAGCAUUGGAACUAACAAAAAAAAUAAAAAAAAGAAUUUGGUAGGAAGAAGAAAUGUAACUUUAGCAGGAGCCAUUG